rnacentral:rRNA from 1 species
UACGUAGGGGGCAAGCGUUGUCCGGAAUCAUUGGGCGUAAAGAGCUCGUAGGCGGUGUGUCGCGUCGGCCGUGAAAACCUGCAGCUUAACUGUGGGCUUGCGGUCGAUACGGGCAUCACUGGAGUUCGGCAGGGGAGACUGGAAUUCCUGGUGUAGCGGUGAAAUGCGCAGAUAUCAGGAGGAACACCGGUGGCGAAGGCGGGUCUCUGGGCCGUAACUGACGCUGAGGAGCGAAAGCAUGGGGAGCGAACAGG